rnacentral:tRNA from 1 species
GCAUCCGUAGCUCAGCUGGAUAGAGUACUCGGCUUACGAACCGAGCGGUCGGAGGUUCGAAUCCUCCCGGAUGCACCA